CUUAAGCAUAUCAAUAAGCGGAGGAAAAGAAACUAACAAGGAUUCCCCUAGUAACGGCGAGUGAAGCGGGAAGAGCUCAAAUUUGUAAUCUGGCCCUUUCAGGGUCCGAGUUGUAAUCUCGAGAAGUGUUUUCCGCGCCGGACUGCAUACAAGUCUGUUGGAAUACAGCGUCAUAGUGGUGAGAGCCCCGUAACUGAUGCAGAUGCCCGGUGCUUUGUGAUACACUUUCGAAGAGUCGAGUUGUUUGGGAAUGCAGCUCAAAUUGGGUGGUAAAUUCCAUCUAAAGCUAAAUAUUGGCGAGAGACCGAUAGCGAACAAGUACCGUGAGGGAAAGAUGAAAAGCACUUUGGAAAGAGAGUUAACAGUACGUGAAAUUGUUGGAAGGGAAACGCUUGAAGUCAGACUUGCUAUUCGGAAUUCAGCCGCAAGGUGUACUUUUCGAUUUGCAGGCCAGCAUCAGUUUUUGGGGGUGGAAAAGGGUGGAGAGAAGGUAGCAACCUC
rnacentral:rRNA from 2 species